UUCGUUCUAUUCGGCCCCUGCUCGACGCACGGGAGCUCAUGUAGUGCACUUUUGUUUUUUGUUUAUUUAUUUAUUUAUUUUUUUUUUUUCCCCAACACAUUUUGAGUUGUAGAAAAAUACCGAAUAUCACGUGUGCACGUAUAAAUCUGAGUUCGCGAGAGCGCGCGCUUUUGUUCUCCGAUACUUACUUGUGCGCGCUACUACAAAAGAUUAUAUUGUCUUCAAAAGCCGCAAAAUCGAAGGAUAAGAGAAAAGUAGGCUGGUUGCACCGGACACAGCCGCCACCGCCGCAGUCGAGAGUUUGCAAGACCGGCGUGAAAGGGAAAAAAGACGAAGAGGAAGAAAAGAAAAAGAAAAAGAAAA